rnacentral:lncRNA from 1 species
UGACAAAGCAAAACCCUAUCUCAAAAAAAAUUUUUUUUUUUCAAACAGGCAAACGGUACAGAAGAAUGUCACAUAGAAACAAAAGGUCUCGGCUAGGCACGGUGGCUCACGCCUGUAAUCCCAGCAUUUUGGGAGGCCGAGGCGGGCGGAUGACCUUAGGUCGGGAGUUCGAGACCUUGCUUUGCAAUUUUAAAGAUUUACAUGAAUGCUUUCUUUAAAAAAUAUGAAAUAUUUCAGUCACUGAGAAAAAAAUAUAUAGCAAACACUCUUAAACCCACCACCAGCUUUUUCAAAUCUUUGUUUUACCAUAUUUGCUUCAGAUGUUUUUAAAGAAAUACAACAUUGCAGAUACAGUAGAUGCCUCUGUGUAACCCACAAUUCCAGUCUCUUUUUUGCCUAUUAUGUUUCCCAGUUUUAAUUAUACGUGUGGAUCUGCUUUAUUUGAGUUGAUUUACAGUUUUCUAUUAUAUUAAUAAAUCACAUUUUACUUGUUCAUUUCUUUAUGGUUAUGGACUAAAUGUCUGUGAAUAACCCAAAUUUAGAUCUUGCAAUCCUAACCCACAUGUGAUGGUAUUUGGAGGCUGGGCAUUUGGGAGGUGAACAGGCCAUCGGACGGAGCCCUCAUGAAUGGGAUUAGUACCCUUAUAAGAAGAGACAGAGGCUGGGCACGGUGGCUCACUCUUGUAAUCCCAGCACUUUCAGAGGCAGAGGCAGGGGGAUCACCUGAGGUCAAGAGUUCGAGACCAGCCUGACCAACAUGGUGAAACCCCCGCAUCUCUACUAAAGAUACAAAAAUUAGCCGAGCAUGGUGGUGCAUGCCUGUAAUCCCAGCAACUCAGGAGGCUGAGGCAGGAGAAUUGCCUGAACCCAGGAGGCGGAGGUUGCAGUGAGCUGAGGUUGUGCCAUUGCAUUCCAGCCUGGGCAACAAGAGCAAAACUGUGCCUCAAAAGAAAAAAAAAAAAAAAAAGAAAAGAAAAGACAGAAUAGAUAUCUCCCUACACCCACCCCACGCGUGGAUGCAGUGAGAUGAUGGGCUUCUGCAAAGCAGGCUUGGGACUCUCACCAGACACCAAUCUGCCAGUGCCGUGAUCUUGGACUUCCUGGCUUCCAGAACUUUGAGAAAUAAGCGUUGUUAAAGCCACACAUUCUAUGGUAUUCUGUUACAGCAACCUAAACUGACUAAGACACUUACUGAUAUAUAUUCAGAUUGUUUUCAGUUUUUUGCUGUAAUAGCAAUGCUUCAUCAGGCAUCCUUGUACAUGUCUGUUUAUACACACGAGAAAAGUGUAUCUAGGAUAUAGGAGAUAUAUUUUAGCCAUGUUCAAAUGUAUAUGUAUAAAACACUUAUGCUUGGUUUGGUGCUGUUUAAGCUGUUAUGCUGUAACAAACACAUAGUUAUUUGUUUGCUGUUCACAUUACAUGUCAGCUGCAAGUUGGCCGAAAUUCUAUAUGUAUGCUUCAAUUGGACAUGCAGGCUGAAGGCAAAACCUCUAUGUGGUUCAUGCCAGCCUCGUGGCAGGGGGCAAAAAGUAAUGACAGAACCACGUAAUGGCUCUUAAUGCCUCUGUGUGGAAGUUGCAUAGCGACUUCGAGUCACAUGUUCUUGAUCAAAGCAAGUCUCAUAGCCAAGCCUGUGUCAUCGGGGUGGUGGAAAUAAUCCUCACCAGAAAUGGGCUCCCUCAGUACAGGAAAGAACAGAGCAGUGUGCUGAACACACGUGGGAUCAUACCAUGGAUACUCCUCUGCAGCUGUUUCUGCAGGGACGCAUAUCUGUUUAGACAUUUUUCCAUAUCAGCACAGGUCUACUUCUCUCUUCGAAGAGGAUUUAUUAGGUUUGCAUUGUUAAGGCACAUAACAUUUACAUUCUACUCCAUAAUUCUCACAGCUGUUUAGCUGUACAUGAUAUUUGAAAGGAUUCAAUGCUAAUGCCAAUCUUUUUAUGCCACAGCCUCCCCAUUCCUAAUACCUUGGCUGCAUUUCAGCAAGUGAUUUUUCACUGCUACACACAACAGGGCUGCAAUGGACAUCACUGCUUUAGCUUCCGUGCCAGCGCGUCUCUAGUUUGUUUUGAUUUCUGAUAAGGCAAGUUCCCCUUUCUUAAGUCUCCUUUUAAAAAAUUAUCUUGGCUAUUCUUGUACAA